AUAAAAAGAAUUGUAGUUUAAGGGAAAUACGUGCAUUAAUCGUAACAGCAUCGUUUGCAAGCGGCUCAAUUAAGUGUUAACCGAAAAAUCCAGUGCGUAAAAUAGUUUAGAAAGUGUAAAGUGAAAAUAAGAACAUUGCAAUAUUCCAACAACAAGAAACGAAUCAAAACGUAACAGCAGAAAUCAAAGAGGACGACGACAAGCAAAGGCACAGUAAUCCAACAAUCAAGCAACUACAAUAAGCCCAAAAAUAAACAAGACCAACAGUCGCCGCAGCUGCUGCAGUAGCCCCAAUAAAAGCGUCCGUCGUCCCAUUUGAAAGCUUAAAGCACCUCUCCCCAUCGCACUUUCCAACACUGCUCUGUGGAGCCUAAGCAGGCAGUGAGCGAGAGGGCGAGAGCGAGCGAGCAACAGCUGAUUGGGAUAGUUGCUGUGCUGCUGUUGGGGAAUCUGCGCAGAGAGAGAGAGAGCAAGAGCGAGAGCGAGAGCGAAACUACUACGUGUGACGUGUGUGGGGGCAUACAGGUGGCAGAACAGCUGUUCCAACAACAAAAAAGCAAUACAACAAAUAUCCAUUUUUCUAGAAUAUCCCAUUACCCCGACUGCAGUUGUUCCACGUAUAAAAAACAUCAAUCAAAACAACAACUGAAAAUAAAAAUCAAGUGAAGCAAUCAUCACCAGCAAGCAACAGCAUCAACAACAAGCAACGCAUCUUCCAGAAGCACCCUUCCAGACGUCCCAACGUUCCAAUUUGUGCGCUUCCUUCCUUCCUUUGUACCCGUUUGGUCUAUCACACGGGUCGGUUUUCCAUUAUUUUGCAACACUGGCUGGCCAAGCGUUCUGUCCUGCAUCCUCUCACCUAUUGCCAUUCACCGUGCAACGGCACAUCCUCCAUCCACAGAAGGAACGGAACAUUGAAA